rnacentral:tRNA from 1 species
ACGCGGCUAGUUCAGUCAGUAGAGCAUGAGGCUCUUAAUCUCAGGGUCGUGGGUUUGUGCCCCAUGUUGGGCA